rnacentral:rRNA from 1 species
CCUACGGGUGGCAGCAGUGAGGAAUAUUGGUCAAUGGGCGCGAGCCUGAACCAGCCAAGUAGCGUGAAGGAUGACUGCCCUACGGGUUGUAAACUUCUUUUAUAAAGGAAUAAAGUGAGGCACGUGUGCCUUUUUGUAUGUACUUUAUGAGUAAGGAUCGGCUAACUCCGGGCCAGCAGCCGCGGUAUUACGGAGGGCCCGAGCGUUAGCCGGAUUGAUUGGGUUUAAAGGGAGCGUAGAUGGUGUGUGAAGUCAGUGGUGAAAGUUUGCGGCUCAACCGUAAAAUUGCAAUUGAUACUGGCAGUCUUGAGUACAGUAGAGGUAGGCGGAAUUCGUGGUGUAGCGGUGAAAUGCUUAGAUAUCACGAAGAACUCCGAUUGCGAAGGCAGCUUACUAAACUGCCACUGACAUUGAUGCUCGAAAGUGUGGGUAUCAAACAGGAUUAGAUACCCUUGUAGUC